UACAGAGGUCUCAAGCGUUGGUCGGAUUCAUUGGGCGUAAAGGGUGCGUAGGCGGCGCGGUAAGUCGGGUGUGAAAUCUCGGAGCUUAACUCCGAAACUGCAUUCGAUACUGCCGUGCUUGAGGACUGGAGAGGAGACUGGAAUUCCAGGUGUAGCGGUGAAAUGCGUAGAUAUCUGGAGGAACACCGGUGGCGAAGGCGACGUCCUGGACCGGCAUUGACGCUGAGGCGCGAAAGCCAGGGGAGCAAACGGG
rnacentral:rRNA from 1 species